CUUUUUGUCCGGUCGUUUUACCAUCGUCGGCUUUGUACGGCGUUCUCGAUGCGUAAGAGUUGUUGCCGUUGCUGGUGCCAGGGGUCGACGUCGACGACGCUUUACCUGCUUUAUGAAGCACACGAAUGCAUGCAAAAGGCGUCAAGAAAGUGCAAGAAAGCAUUAGAGACCAUGACCGUCGAAUAUAUAGAAAGGUAUACUACCAGAAAGGCGAGGAUCUGAUAAAGGGAGAGCUAUCCAUGCAUGCACAUACAUAUGCUCAGGCGUUAAUGGGAUGAGUGACACUCACUAACCUGUAGCAGGCGCCGGCGCCUUUGGGCCAGCCUCCGCCGGAGCAUAUGGACGUCGAUCAUUAUACUGGUCGGUAGACCCUGGCAGUUGAGGCACAGAUCUACUUGGUCCUGCAUAUAUGGAUGUAUGGAGAAAAUAAUAGCAUAUUAGAGUUGAUGCUGAUCGUGCAUGUGUAUGCAAUGGACGAAUUGGAUAUGUGGAUGCUGGCUCACCCUUCGCCGCCAUGCUCACUUGCUCAGUACGGGGGGCCUUUGUGGCUGCUUGUCUUCUCUUCAGCUAGCUAGCUUUGGGAGAGUUUGUUGCUA
rnacentral:lncRNA from 1 species